CCAGCAUCUUCAUCUGUAUUGGAGUGUUUAUUGCUCAGAUUCUGGGACUCCAUGAGAUCUUGGGCAAGGAAGAGCACUGGCCUCUGUUCCUCUCUCUAGUUGUGGUGCCUACAUUCAUACAGCUCAUGCUGUUGCCAUGGUUCCCAGAGAGUCCGAGAUAUCUGUUGAUGGAAAAGCGGAACAUUCAUGCCACUAUCACAGCACUGAAGUGGUACCGUGCCAAGUGUAAUAUUCAGGCUGAGGUGGAGGAGAUGCAGGAAGAGCAGCGCUCUUUGUCCUCAAUAGAGACUGUCUCAGUAUUGCAGCUCUUCAGGGAUCCGUCUGUUCGCUGGCAGAUU